rnacentral:sRNA from 1 species
UGAAGAAGACGAAAGAGAG